rnacentral:rRNA from 1 species
UCAGGCCUAACACAUGCAAGUCGAGGGGUACAGUAGCAAUACUGGAGACCGGCGCACGGGUGCGUAACGCGUAUGCAACCUACCUUUUACAGGGGAAUAGCCCAGAGAAAUUUGGAUUAAUGCCCCAUGGUAUAUGUAAUUCGCAUGUUUUACAUAUUAAAGUUCCAACGGUAAAAGAUGGGCAUGCGUCCCAUUAGCUAGAUGGUAAGGUAACGGCUUACCAUGGCUACGAUGGGUAGGGGUCCUGAGAGGGAGAUCCCCCACACUGGUACUGAGACACGGACCAGACUCCUACGGGAGGCAGCAGUGAGGAAUAUUGGACAAUGGGCGCAAGCCUGAUCCAGCCAUGCCGCGUGCAGGAAGAAGCAUCUAUGGUGUGUAAAGUGCUUUGUACGGGAAGAAAC